GGAUUAGAUACCCUGGUAGUCCAUGCUGUAAACGAUGUCUACUAGCUGUUGGAUUUUUAUAAAUUUAGUGGCGCAGUUAACGCACUAAGUAGACCGCCUGGGGAGUACGGCCGCAAGGUUAAAACUCAAAUGAAUUGACGGGGGCCCGCACAAGCGGUGGAGCAUGUGGUUUAAUUCGACGCAACGCGAAGAACCUUACCAGGCCUUGACAUCCUGAGAAGAAGCCAGAGAUGGUUUUGUGCCUUCGGGAACUUGGUGACAGGUGCUGCAUGGCUGUCGUCAGCUCGUGCCG
rnacentral:rRNA from 1 species